rnacentral:rRNA from 1 species
AUUGAACGCUGGCGGUAGGCUUAACACAUGCAAGUCGAGCGGUAACAGAAAGUAGCUUGCUACUUUGCUGACGAGCGGCGGACGGGUGAGUAACGCGUAGGAAUCUACCUGAUAGUUGGGGAUAGCCCGGGGAAACCCGGAUUAAUACCGAAUACGCUCUACGGAGGAAAGGAGGGGAUCUUUUGACCUUUCGCUAUCAGACGAGCCUGCGUGAGAUUAGCUUGUUGGUGAGGUAAAGGCUCACCAAGGCGACGAUCUCUAGCUGGUCUGAGAGGAUGAUCAGCCACACUGGGACUGAGACACGGCCCAG